UCCAUUUUCCAUCGAAUGUUAAAUUGCGCCGAAUAAACGUACAGAACUGUAUCCGAUAUUUUUUAGGAUGCAUUCGAUAGGUCCGAUAUAUUUUGUAUUUGAUUUGAAUUUAAAACAAAAAUUUCUGUAAUCUCUACGGCCUAAAUAUAUACAAUAAAUACGCACAGACACACACACACCGCCAUCCAUACGUUUACGUGAUUCAUUUUUGAUUUCAUAAAAAUUUCAAGAUUUCUUACAAAAACUGAGAGCUCGUGAUAUCCCAAAUCGAAACUUGUUAUUAAAGUGAAACAAAUGUAUGGUAAAAACGAUAACACGAUUACAAGAAAAACAACACAACAAUGUGUUGGAGCGUAAUAAUAUACAACAGAAAUGAAUUCAUUGAUUUGUGUGAAUGAUCAUGAUUAUGUAGACAAUUUCUUGUACACAAAAUGAUCGGCAUGGUGUGUAUACAACAUUUUUGCUACUCUUUUUAUUAUAAAAGUUUUGCGUUCAUUUUUUGAGGAAGUAAAAGUAUUACAAGUAAAAAAACACAAAACAGUCCGACUUGAAAUGCUUUGUUUGAUCGACAUAAAAAGUAGUGCUGUACGCAUUUAAGCGAAUAACAUCGAAACCGCAUGCGAUAUCCAAAAUCAAAAUAUGGAUAAUCGUUCCACCGACGAACCAUUGUUUCGUGCAGUAC